AACGAACGCUGGCGGCGUGCCUAACACAUGCAAGUCGAACGUGAUUAGAGAGCUUGCUCUCUAUGAAAGUGGCGCACGGGUGAGUAACGCGUAGAUAAUCUACCUGAUGAUCCGGGAUAACACUUCGAAAGGGGUGCUAAUACCAGAUAAGCCCACGGGGUCUUUGGACUCUGCGGGAAAAGGAGGGGACUUUCGGGCCUUCCGUCAUCAGAUGAGUCUGCGUACCAUUAGCUAGUUGGUAGGGUAAAGGCCUACCAAGGCGACGAUGGUUAGCUGGUCUGAGAGGAUGAUCAGCCACACUGGAACUGAGACACGGUCCAGACUCCUACGGGAGGCAGCAGUGGGGAAUUUUGCGCAAUGGGGGAAACCCUGACGCAGCAACGCCGCGUGAGUGAUGAAGGCCCUUGGGUCGUAAAGCUCUGACAGAGGGAAAGAAGUGUAUUGUGGCUAAUAUCCAUGAUACUUGACGGUACCCUCAAAGGAAGCACCGGCUAACUCCGUGCCAGCCGCCGCCGUAA
rnacentral:rRNA from 1 species